AAUCAACGCUGGCGGCGUGCCUCAGACAUGCAAGUCGAACGAUUAAAGCUCUCUUCGGAGAGUGUAUAGAGUGGCGCACGGGUGAGUAACACGUAAGUAAUCUACCUUCGAGUGGGGAAUAACGUCCGGAACGGACGCUAAUACCGCAUAAUGCAGCGGCAUCGCAAGAUGACAGUUGUUAAAGAUUUAUCGCUUGAAGAGGAGCUUGCGGCAGAUUAGCUAGUUGGUAAGGUAAUGGCUUACCAAGGCUACGAUCUGUAACCGGUCUAAGAGGACGGUCGGUCACACUGACACUGAAUAACGGGUCAGACUCCUACGGGAGGCAGCAGUCGGGAAGUUUUGG
rnacentral:rRNA from 1 species